rnacentral:rRNA from 1 species
UUGACCUCAAAUCAGGUAUGNCUACCCGNUGAACUUAAGCAUAUCAAUAAGCGGAGGAAAAGAAACUANCCAGGAUUCCCCUAGUAANUGCGAGUGAAGCGGGAAGAGAUCAAAUCUACAAUCUGAUGGUCCUCGUGGCUGUCCGAGUUGUAGUUUAGAGAAGUGCUAUCUGCGUCGGCCCGGGUACAAGUUUCUUUGAAUAGAACAUCAUGGAGGGUGAUAAUCCCGUGUGUGACACGGACUCCCGGGGCUCAGAGGAUGCGCUCUCGAUGAGUCGAGUUGUUGGGGAAUGCAGCUGUAAAUGGGUGGUAAAUUCCAUCUAAAGAUAAAUAUUGGCGAGAGACCGAUAGCGUACAAGUACCGUGAGGGAAAGACGAAAAGAACUUUGGAAAGAGAGUUAAACAGUACGUGAAAUUGCUAAAAGGGAAACGCUUGAAGUCAGUCGCGUCGGUUGGGGAUCAGCCUCGCUUUUUUGCAAGGUGCACUUCCGGACUGUCCGGGUCAGCAUCGGUUUUGACCGCUGGAUAAAGGCUGAGGGAAUGUGGCANCCUUGGAUGGUUAUAACCCUUGGUUCGGAUGCAGCGGUCGGGACGGAGGAACUCAGCACGCCUUCAUGGUCGGGGCUUCGAGCUCACG